AUUGAACGCUGGCGGCAGGCCUAACACAUGCAAGUCGAGCGGAGCGGCGGACGGGUGAGUAAUGCCUAGGAAUCUGCCUGGUAGUGGGGGAUAACGUCCGGAAACGGGCGCUAAUACCGCAUACUAGCAGAUGAGCCUAGGUCGGAUUAGCUAGUUGGUUGGGUAAAGGCCUACCAAGGAGACGAUCCGUAACUGGUCUGAGAGGAUGAUCAGUCACCCCUGAACUUAGACACGGUCCAGACUCCGACGGGAGGCAGCAGUGGGGAAUAUUGUACAAUUGGCGAAAGCCUGAUUCAGCCAUUCCGCGUGUGUGAAGAAUGUCUUCGGAUUGUAAAGCACUUUAAGUUGUGAGGCGUUACCAUCCGAAUAAGCCCCGGCUAACUUCGUGCCAGCCGCCGCGGUAAUUC
rnacentral:rRNA from 1 species